UUCUUUAAAAAUAAAAAAGUUUCUCUCUUUCUAAUUUUUCACUACGUUUUGAACUCACAAAUCUGAGGCAUAUGUAUAUAUAUGGGUCUGGGUUUGCCCUUUUUGCUUGUCAAAGUUAGUUUCCCUUGAAUUAGAAAGAUGAGUUUUAUUGCAUUUAUGUUGUGAAACUCCCUUGAAAUUGAGUCGAUAUCCUCUGAUUAUACAUUUGAAGACAAUCUUGAUCAAGUACUUAGUAUGAUAUUGACCAUUUUUUAAGAAAACAUUUUGCUCCUGUUGAACCUGCUGUUGCCGCAUGAAGUUGGAAAUUUCUAUUUUCUUCACUCCCUAUGGGCAAUCUAUUCAUGAAGCACUGUUUCGGAUAAAGCCUUACACAUCCCAUAUAUGGCCCUAUUUCUAAUUUUUUAAUUCAAUUACUUCUUAGAUAUUUUUUAAUUCAUUUUCCCAUCAUAAUUAUGCUUUAAUUGCCCUGCAUAUUCUUUGUUCUGAACUACAGUCAUCUGCUGUAAUAGUUUUUGUGCAAGGAUUGAAUUUGGCCAUGCACAAAAGAUUUUAAAUGAAAUUCGUGAUCAUGUUGGAUUUUAAGGUUCCUGAAAUUUCAUGUUGGGAUGUGACCACCUUUGGUGAGAUGACAAAGGAACUGCUUCAUUUGCAUAGUAGGUUUUAUCAAGCAUGAUAGUUAUGAUUUUCUUGGUUUAUAUGUUAUCUUUAAGGUUCUCCAGACCCUUGACUUUCUUUAUAGAUUAUUUGUAUAGAUUACUGAGUCAAAACUGAAGUUUUCUUUAUGGUAAGAUGGCAGUUGGCACCCUUUUGUGCUGGGGAAAGUCAAGCACCUCACUUUGGCAUUUAAUGAUCAUAAAUUCCUCACUAAAAAGCAUCGAGAGUAUUUUUGUAGAAACUAGAUAUGGGUGUGCAUUAUGCGUAUACAUGUUUAUGAAAUCAGAUAUGGGCGUGCAGAGGAUUGAUGCUUUCAGUAUACACAAUGGAAGAUUGGGCGUCCAUUAUGUUUAUACAAUCAGCUGACCUGGUGUUGCUUGUCUAUGAGCGUGACUUGUGUUUGUUUUUUAAUGUAACUUUGUGGAAUGGGUUUGUAAAGGGGAUAUGCCAGAUAUGAGAAUGGCAGUGUAAUAUUUUCUUGAAGUGUAAUAUUUGCAAGAAGUGUAAUAUGAUAUGUAAAGGGGAUAAUAUUUUCUUAAA